rnacentral:rRNA from 1 species
UUUAUGGAGAGUUUGAUCCUGGCUCAGGAUGAACGCUGGCGGCGUGCCUAAUACAUGCAAGUCGAGCGAACGGACGAGAAGCUUGCUUCUCUGAUGUUAGCGGCGGACGGGUGAGUAACACGUGGAUAACCUACCUAUAAGACUGGGAUAACUUCGGGAAACCGGAGCUAAUACCGGAUAAUAUUUUGAACCGCAUGGUUCAAAAGUGAAAGACGGUCUUGCUGUCACUUAUAGAUGGAUCCGCGCUGCAUUAGCUAGUUGGUAAGGUAACGGCUUACCAAGGCAACGAUGCAUAGCCGACCUGAGAGGGUGAUCGGCCACACUGGAACUGAGACACGGUCCAGACUCCUACGGGAGGCAGCAGUAGGGAAUCUUCCGCAAUGGGCGAAAGCCUGACGGAGCAACGCCGCGUGAGUGAUGAAGGUCUUCGGAUCGUAAAACUCUGUUAUUAGGGAAGAACAUAUGUGUAAGUAACUGUGCACAUCUUGACGGUACCUAAUCAGAAAGCCACGGCUAACUACGUGCCAGCAGCCGCGGUAAUACGUAGGUGGCAAGCGUUAUCCGGAAUUAUUGGGCGUAAAGCGCGCGUAGGCGGUUUUUUAAGUCUGAUGUGAAAGCCCACGGCUCAACCGUGGAGGGUCAUUGGAAACUGGAAAACUUGAGUGCAGAAGAGGAAAGUGGAAUUCCAUGUGUAGCGGUGAAAUGCGCAGAGAUAUGGAGGAACACCAGUGGCGAAGGCGACUUUCUGGUCUGUAACUGACGCUGAUGUGCGAAAGCGUGGGGAUCAAACAGGAUUAGAUACCCUGGUAGUCCACGCCGUAAACGAUGAGUGCUAAGUGUUAGGGGGUUUCCGCCCCUUAGUGCUGCAGCUAACGCAUUAAGCACUCCGCCUGGGGAGUACGACCGCAAGGUUGAAACUCAAAGGAAUUGACGGGGACCCGCACAAGCGGUGGAGCAUGUGGUUUAAUUCGAAGCAACGCGAAGAACCUUACCAAAUCUUGACAUCCUUUGACAACUCUAGAGAUAGAGCCUUCCCCUUCGGGGGACAAAGUGACAGGUGGUGCAUGGUUGUCGUCAGCUCGUGUCGUGAGAUGUUGGGUUAAGUCCCGCAACGAGCGCAACCCUUAAGCUUAGUUGCCAUCAUUAAGUUGGGCACUCUAAGUUGACUGCCGGUGACAAACCGGAGGAAGGUGGGGAUGACGUCAAAUCAUCAUGCCCCUUAUGAUUUGGGCUACACACGUGCUACAAUGGACAAUACAAAGGGCAGCGAAACCG